GUGGUGGUGUUUACAGUCUAACACCCUGACCCAUCGUGGGAGCCCAGGGUCAAAGCCAGCAGCUGCGGGAUCGUCACACCCUUACCCUUUAAUCCCAGCGAUGCUGAGCCGGCUUCCAUCCCCUCGCUGAGCUAGCCAGCUGUCUGACUGCUUGAAAAUGGCGGAAGAGGAAGAGGGCGGCGUGGAGGAGGGGGACGUGUUCCUAGCAUUUGCCCAGGGUCCCAUUCCUCCUCGGGGGCCCGUGCGGCAGGCUUUGGACAAGAUCUUCCUCGCCUUCUUGGUCCUCUUCCUGACUCUGCUGAUGCUGGAGGCUGCUUACAAACUGCUGUGGCCCCUGCCAUGGGCCAAGUUUCAGGACUGGCUCCUGAGGACCCCUGAGGAGGAGGCAGCUCUGGUGCUCUGAGCAUCUUCAUAGACCACCUGUCCUUGCUACUGAGCUAAAACCGUUAAGAGCUGUUACAAGGGCUGGGCAGCCGGCUCGGCGGUUAAGAGCACUGACUGAUUUUGCAGAGGGACCCACAUGGAUUCCAUAAUCCCAGUUCCUGAAGGACCUGAAGCCCUGUUCUGAACUCAAGGAGCAGGAGACAUGCACAUGGUGCAUGCAUACACUCAGGCAAAACAACUGCACACAAUUUGUUAAAAUCUAAGAUUAAGAAAAAGAUUAAGGGCUGGUGAGAUGGCUCAGUGGUUAAGAGCACUGACUGCUCUUCCAAAGAUCCUGAGUUCAAAUCCCAGCAACCACAUGGUGGCUCACAACCAUCUGUAAUGAGAUCUGACAGCCUUUCUGGUGUGUCUGAAGACAGCUACAGUGUACUUAGACAUAAUAAAUAAAUAAAUAAAUAAAUAAAUAAAUAAAUAAAUAAAUAAAUAAAUAAAUAAGAUUAACCGGGCAGUGGUGACACACGCCUUUAAUCCCAGCACUCGGGAGGCAGAGGCAGACGGACUUCUGAGUUCGAGGCCAGCCUGGUCUACAAAGUGAGUUCCAGGACAGCCAGGGCCACACAGAGAAACCCUGUCUCGGAAAAAACUAAAAAAAAUAAAACAAAAAAAAAAAGCAAAACAAACAAGAAAAAGAUUAACCAACAGAUUAUUCUUUAUUUAUAGUUGAUUACAUAAUAAAUAUUGUUCACCCAAUAAAAUCAUGUCUCAACUCCCACCCACCCCCACCGAAUACACACUAAAACAGAGACGCAUGCGCACUGGCUUGCAAGGGAAUCAGGCUCUGGAUCCGACUUCACUUCUUAUUAGCCUGAGCAGUACCAAUGACACACUGGUUCACCCUUUAAUCCCAGCGAUGCUGAGCCGGCUUCCAUCCCCUCGCUGAGCUAGCCAGCUGUCUGACUGCUUGAAAAUGGCGGAAGAGGAAGAGGGCGGCGUGGAGGAGGGGGACGUGUUCCUAGCAUUUGCCCAGGGUCCCAUUCCUCCUCGGGGGCCCGUGCGGCGGGCUUUGGACAAGAUCUUCCUCGCCUUCUUGGUCCUCUUCCUGACUCUGCUGAUGCUGGAGGCUGCUUACAAACUGCUGUGGCCCCUGCCAUGGGCCAAGUUUCAGGACUGGCUCCUGAGGACCCCUGAGGAGGAGGCAGCUCUGGAACUCUGAGCGUCUUCAUAGACCACCUGUCCUUGCUACUGAGCCCAGCUCACUCAAAGAUUUAUUAUAUGUACGUACACUGUCGCUGUCUUCAGACACCCCAGAAGAGGGCAUCAGAUCUCAUUAAGGAUGGUUGUGAGCCACCAUGUGGUUGCUGGGAUUUGAACUCAGGACCUCUGGAACAGCAGUCAGUGCUCUUAACCGCUGAGCCAUUUCUCCAACCCUUAAGAGUGUAUUUUAUUUCCUUUUGAUUUCCUGCAAGUAUCAUGGUUUCAGUUUUCUUUCUGGCUGUAAGACUCCAUUGUAUGUCCGAACCACAUUUUAUCUGUUUUACGGGCCAGUUGGCUGCUUCUGUUCUUUUGCCUAUUGCAAUCGCUACAGCAAUAAACAUGGAUGUGUACGUGGUGUUCUGACUUAAAUUUCUUCAAGUAUCUAUCCAGGAGCAAUACAUCUAGGACAUGUUAGGUCUUAGGCCGUGCAUAGGUCCAGAGAUGGGUCCUGGCCCACCUCAAGCUGGACUCUAGAAGAGUCCCUGGCAGUUAGACAAAGGCCAGAAUUCCCCCAGGACCUUGUGAAACAGGCUCCUGUCUGCAGAAAGGAUGUUUCCCUUGCCUCUGGAAAAAGGACACAAGGCUCAGCAGUGUGCC
rnacentral:lncRNA from 1 species